GGUGGUAUAUAGGCCGGAGACGGAUACUCGGGUGUGCGCAAGGGGGAGAUCCUUGGAUUUGAGGCUCUGUUUGAAGGGGAAAGAUGGGAAGGUGCUUGGUGUCGGAACUGGAUUCUAGGCUUGGCGUCGGAACUGCACCAUUAAAUCCAUUAGAUCCUUGGAUUUAAUGGUGCAGCUGAUCCAAUCUGUUACAAAUGCAACAAAUGGC
rnacentral:lncRNA from 1 species